AAAAUAUAAAGUAAGAGAAAAUAACACUACUCGAAAGAACAAAAGAGAGCAUGAAAGUAAAGAUCCUCAAGAAUCAUGACCCAAAACCCAAAAAAGCUGGACUUCACUUCACUUUCUUAAGCCAAAAAGGCAGCGAAGAAAGUGGCGGCAAGAGCGGUUGCACCAAUGAAAACACCGUUGGUGGAGGCGGCAGACGGAGGAGGGCCUUGGUCGGCAGUGGGCUCGGAGGCUGGAGCAGCUCCACCUGAUGGGGUAGGAGCUGGAGGGGAAGCGUUUGAAGGAGAAGGUGUAGAAGCUUCAGGAGAAGGCGAUGGGGAAGUGGUGGGUGAUGCGG
rnacentral:lncRNA from 1 species